rnacentral:lncRNA from 1 species
AGAAAAAAAAGAGGGGGCAUAAAAGUGUUUUGGGGAAAAGAAAAAAAAAACUUUUUUUUUGGUGUUUACUUUUCCAAAGGGAAUUUUCCUCAAAUUUUCAAGAAGAAAGAUAGCAGUGUUUUCAGGUAAGCUGCCUGGUGAGGGCCACAGCAUUUUCAAUUCAGAAAGCAGCUUUCUCCUGAAAGAUUAAAAGAAUUUUACAUGAAGGUGGAGAAGGCCGUUGAAGUCCCCGCAGACGUCCUGGGCCCCUCAGGGCUGAUGCAGUGGGGCAAGAUCGUUGGGAGGAAGCCAGUCAGAAAACCAGAGGAGGACAGGAGUAGAUUUGGAAGGAGGCGUGAAAUAUUCCUGGAACAAGGAGUUGGUUUGAGAUGCCUGUAAGGAACUUCACGUCUGGAACAAAGCGUAGGUGAGGGGAGGCUGCUGCUUAGCUCCCUGACAGUGAAGACAGUGGAGGCAGGGUCUGUUCUCUGUGCACACCACGAGAAAAUGCAAGCAUUUCCCAGGGGUCAGAGCAGACAGAUUCAAACACCCAUUGAGCUCGUCUGUGUGCAAUUUCACCUGCCCUUCCUGAAAUCUGCUUCCUAACAGAAGGCCAGAAUCUUCCUCAAGCUUUCUAAACACCUGCAUUGAAAUUUAAAAGGAUGAUUCAAACCCACUCAUGGAUGGGGGUGUUAUUGUAAAAGUUAAUUCACAGGGUAUUUUAUAAAAAUGACAACAUUUUUAUAAUGAAGCGUGGCUUCUCCAGGACCACUUAGCAGGUGAGGCUGUGACGACAGCCCCGUAGCCUGAGUCCUCGUCCUCACUGAGGACUGUGGGCGCAGCCUCAGUCCACGCAUGUUUUUGUAGCUACCGGGCUGAAGACGUGGCUAGGAAGUUCCAUUGAGUCACACAUUCUGCUCACUCAUUGGUGCUUUUCGCAGGAGCUUGAGUGCACUCUCCAGAAAGUGCAAACUUCCUGUUCAUCCUCCGUGGUGACCUAGCUUGUAUCACAACUCUAGGCAGCUCCGACUCCGUGUUGCAGGCCAAGAUCACAGGGAAUCAGCCCAUAAGGAGAGUGAGUGCAGUGGGUCUGGGCUCCUCAGGGUUUUCUGACAGUGCCCGUCUUUUAGAAAGCUAGGCGUGGUUUCCUAGACAUUCAGCUUCCAACCUGCAGCCCGGAGGGGUGCAUUCCAGCCAAGCGAAUUCCUUCCUGCUCCGCACAGUCCUGCAAGCUGACCAGGAGAACCAUGCAGACUCCAGACAAAAUGCAGCCGUUGCAUCGGGGGCAGGAAGGGUCCUCAGUGAUCUGACAGUCCAAAUCAAUCAAUCAAUCAAUCGUUCUCCUUCCCUUGUCUCUCCAUCCUCUCUCUCUUCCUCAAUAAUGUGCUCUCUGGCUUUUGCUUUCUCUCUCUCUCCCUCUCUCAUGCUCUCUCUUUCUCCCCCAUUUUAACUGUGGAGGCCCAAACAUGCAUUUCAGUUUGCCUGAGGCCCAAGGCCUUGCCAGUGCUCUUCUACUCUCCAGUAGCUUUGGAGUAAAGAAGUAGAAUUCUCACAGAUUCCAUGGGGGUCCUCGGAGGGUUCCCUAGCCCUCCUGCCCCGUCUACCCGGCACCCUGGCUCCUUGCCUCCGCUCAGUGUUCUGCGGGACCAGGCAGCCCAGGACAGGAGGACAGCUCUGUCUCCAGUUCCCAUCCCGCCUGGCCUCCUCAUAGCCUGGCUGAGUCGGCUUCCUCCUUCAUCAAAUGAAGCUGAUAGCUCCUCAGGAUUUGGAAGGAGGCGUAAGCUGGCAGUUUGAAAAUGGGACCCACAUCUGUCUGUGCUCCCCACAGUAGGGGCAAGGGGUGAGUCGGCCCAGGUUAUGGCCUCCCUAUAGUGUGCAGAGUUGGUGAGCCUCCCUGACCCAUCUGCAAACAUCGCCCAGGCACCACCAGGAAGAGCGGGCAGAUGCCACGUGCAGGCCCAGGGCAGAUAGCAGCCUGGGGAAAUGCUUUAAAACACAGUUAACAAUUAGAACGCCAGUCAUAAGAAGCCCGUUUUUGAGAGGGCUGACGACAGGGUGCUGAUGGGCGUGGCAGAGUCUUAAGCACUGUGAAUUCAGAGAACAGGGAUAUUGCAAGAAGGCCAGGUGGCCCAGGCAGGCGCGCAGAAAGAGGAUGGAUGGAGAUGCCCUGUGGUGAACAUUCGUCUCCUGAAUGUCUUAUGUUCUGUGCAUAUUUUUCCUCUAAACAGACAUAAUUGUAACCACUCACACAGAAGCAGAAAUGAACCAGGAAGCCCACUAAGGCAGAGCGUGGCCUGUCAUUUGAGGGGGUGUGAUUGAUUAGAUGACGGGGGCAGACUUCAAGUGCGUUGGAAGACAGAGGAGCUGUUUCCCUCUCUCUCAAGUGAUUAAAAAGUAGACAAUGUAGAAUUUGACUUCCGGGGUCUUUAGAACUAACUUCUAGCAUGCUUACAAUAAAAAUAUUUUAACAAAAAUAAAAAUAACAGGAUAAAGUUGCUCUUUAUCCUUUCUAUCCUAAAAUAUCCUAUCCUCUUCUAUCCUAAAAUGAAAGGAUAAAGAAUUAAAGUUAAGCUAAAGUAAAAAAUAUGUCAGGAAUUCUAAAUUAUAAGAAUUUGUGAAAGAUUUAAUUAUAAUAUUAGGGAAAAUGUCCCAACCUACUUUAGCAAAUCAUACGUUAUCAUUGAAGAAAACAGAGCGUAUCAUUACUGAUCAAAUUCAGGAAUAUAAGCGGGCACCCCAGCAAAGUUUUCUCUCUACAUCCUCUUGCUCCAGCUUGUAGAAUAAUUAAAGCCUGUCUUGGUCCAUUUUGUGUUGCUGUAACAGAACUGGGUAAUUGAAAAAGAAAAAAGGCUUAUUUGGCUCAUGAUAUGCAUGGCUGGAAAGUUAGACAGGCAGUGGCAUCUGAUAAGGCCUUUAUGCUGCUUCUACCCACGGUAGAAAGCAGAAGGGGACCGGGCGUGUGUAAAGAGACACAUGGUGAGAGAAGAAGCAAGAGACAGAAGCCGAGGAAGCCAUUCUUUUAAUCACCUGCUCUCUCGGGAACUAGGCCAUUCCGCCAGAGCGAGAACUCACUUAGCUCUGAGGGACUGUGUUGGUCUAUUCAUGAGGGUUCUGCCCCCAUGACCCAGAAACCUCCAGGACCCACCUCCCAACACCACCACAUUGGGGAUCAAAUUUCAAAUUUUGGCAGAGGUUUUGGUGGAGACAAACCACACGCAAACCAUAGCAGAGCCCUCUUAUGACAGAAUCCGAGGUUCUGUACAGUUACUGGAUCCUAAACGUUAAAUACAUAAAGCCUGAUGGAAAACGGGAGCGCAUCUGGAAUGGAUUUAAUGCCGUCCCACCUUACGGGUCAAGUAUGUAUUUAAUCUCUGCGAAUAAAUGAAAGAUCAGUGAAAAAAGGGCAAAAUUAUUAUAUAAUACAGAUUUCAUGUGGCUUUAAUGUGAUGGUGCCUAGUUUUUAAAUGGUUGAUAAAAAGUAUAUUUAUUUUUAAAGAUUAAAGUCCACAAGAAUUUGUUGACUGUCUUUUUCAAUCACUUGCAUAGUUGGCCCUGCUAGGCUUUGAAAUGAUGCUGUAAACUGGGCAUGUUCACACACCGCGGCCCUCAAUCACGUCACAUGGGCCCCGCCACUAUCCAGCAGACACAGCCCUUUUCAAAGGGGGCUUGUCUGGUGAAAGCCAUACACAGGGUGUGUUCUUUCAUUCACUCAGUUACCAAAUGUGCUGAGCUCACUGGGUGGCUGCCUGUGCAGUCAAGGUUGGGCGGUGCAGACAGGAAGGGGCUCCUCCCCUCCUCUCCUGAGCACUGGGGCUCCUUAAGGCAGACUCAUCCCUCCCUCCUGCUGCAAACCCUUCCCUCACAUAGCCUUGGGCUCCUGAAUCCCACUAAAUAAAAUCAAGCUAUUGCAUAGUUGAAAUGUUUGCUGGUUCAACUAUCCAAAUUAUUUUUACCUCAAUUGAGUUAAAUGCUGCUGCAACUUUUAUGGCCUGGAGUAGAAAAUGCAAUCACAUCAAAAGGUGCCCUGGAAAUGAUAAAGAAUUAUGAAAACAGCCCUCUCUGAAAACAGGUUAUGUAUAUAGCAAGAGCAGUGGUGGGUAAAUGGUCCCAAAAAUAUGGCUAAGAGAAGAGGACCAUGGUUCAACAUUCCUUACACAUUUGGGGACAGCAUUGCAUUUGGGGGCCCAGCUGGAGCAGAGUUUUAGCUCUCUGCUCGUGGAAGUAGAGCAUGGCUGUAAUACCACAGCUGCUGACUCAGCCCCUGCUGCCAACCGCUGGGAGACCAGACCCAGGAAAGGAUAGACAAGCUGGCUAAUCAAUAACCCAAGGACAGCAGAGUCCUACCUGACACUGGGCCUUCCUGAGGAGACGGAAAGCAGUGAACCUCUGUAAAAGCUUAGAGUCUCCUAAGCAAGGGCAGGGCACACACCGGGACAGAACAGCAAAUCGAUGACUUUAGUCGCUAAACUAAAGCUUCAUUCUCCUUAAGAAUGACUCUCCUCCAUCGCCACCCCUCACCCCACUUGAGGACUUAUCUGGAAUUUCAAAUGUUUGUUCCUGCAAAUGCAUCUUCCAUCCUGGGUGACAGGAAGUGUCUGGUUCCAUGACGAUGAAGCAGCCACAAGGCCUCUCUGUGUCAGUGCUGGAGAGAGAGAGCUUCCUUCCUCCUGUCCUGGACCCCUCCUGGAGGGACGCUCCCAAGGCUGAGAUGACACAGUCAUUUCCCGCAUGCUGUCUAGCACUGACCCACCCAUCGCCCUUGUCCUGGUGCUGGUCUGCAGCAGCAGUGAGGGGGACCCCUUUGUGUGAGGGCUGCACUGGCCAUCGUUCAGGAAAAGGCAAUAGAGCCUCUGCAGUCUUUGAACGCCCUCGGUGCCUCCAGCGCAUUGGCCUUAGGACAACACUCCUUACGGGGGGUCUCUGAAGUCUGCCCGGAAGACACUCUUCCAGCCCACCGGGUCCUGCAGCCAAAGUGCAUGGUGUCCCCUGGCCCUGGAACAAGUCUCUGUGUGACCCUGAGGGUCCCUGUAGAAACAGCCACAUGGCCCCUCCUUCAUGGAGCCCAGCGUUCCUUGUUGAUUUUCGGCUUUCUUACCUGGCCUCCGCUGUCCAUCCUUGAGGUGGGCUGGUGCUCUAGGGACUUCCUGCAAUGACGGGUUUGUGUUGGGUACAGAAAGAAGCUAUUGUAGAACCGUCCGACGAUGGAGCCUUCAGGGACGCGGUGGCCCCGGAGCACAUGGUGACAUGCUGGAGAAGCUGGGCAGUGCCCAGGAGUUGGCACGUGGGGACUCGGUUCGCUGAGUUCGCUGAAAGCAAAUCCGUGUUUUGCAUGAGCGGCCUGUGUGUCUGCUGGCUCUAAACCUGCCUUGUUUUGUCCAGCUGUGGCUGGGAUCUGUGACUCCUUGGAAGGCAUUUCACCUCACUCAGAGUCACAAAAUUCAAGCAAUGACAAGAACAGUGCCUGGAGUAGAAUACCAUUUAAAUUUUAUUUAUAUUCAUUUAUUCACUGUCAAAUAUCCUUUUUAUUUAACCAAAUUUCAAACUGUUAGAAACAGUGGAGGUUAUGGAACCCAGAGUCAGGCAGAUCCUCAGAGUUUGUCUUUAUUUGCAGCUGUGAGCACAGAACUCACGUAUGUUCAUCUCAGAAAGAUCACAGAAGCACAGGUGCUUAGAAGAGCUGACACCAAGCAUGUGGAAGGAAUUUAACUUCUUCAUGUAUUGGUACAACUGAAACAAAUUAUGCCUAAGCUGGGGAGACCUGCACCAGCUACUGGAUUGGUUGAGGAAGAUGAGAUAAUAUGAUACCCUAUUUAAUAGGAAGAUUAUUUUACAUAUAAUUUUCCACAUAUAAUUUAGGGAAAAUAGUAAUUUAUUAAAGGACUCUCAGGGACUUGUAGUUGAGAAAAUGUUAACUAUUUGGGUUAAGGGACAUGUUCACUAACUCUGAGAUUUAUAGCAUAGUUGUGAGUGGCUGACAUUUACUAUCUACUAUUUAUUUUUAACGAGUAUAUAUGAUUAAUAAUUAGUAUUUACAAAGUACUUCCACAAAAAUCUUCUUCUGGUGCCCAUGACAAUCCUGUGAGGUAGAUAUUGUGGGUAUUUUAUAUCUACACUAUAUUUUAAAGCUAAAAGAACCAAAGCCGAAAUGAAUAGUUGGCUUGCUCAGGGCACCCACCCAGCCAGCACGUGGAGGUGUCUGAAAUUAACCUCAGGCUUCUUAUUUCCAAAACCAAUCUGUUGCCCAAGGUCCCAGCUCACAACUAGAGCAGAAGCCUCUUUGAACAGAUCACAGCUUAUGUAUGUAUUCACGUGUAAUCUCCACAGUAGCUACGCUAGGUCAUUGCAUGUACAUGAAGGUACGUGAAGGAAUGGAUGGAAUUAUCUUACAUUAGGGAAGAUGCUAACCUCCCAGCUGAAUUUUGGCGUUAGCAUGACACUUAGCAUCUUUCUUGGCUGUUAAAAUAAAGCAUAACAGGGUGGCAGGAGAGGAUGAUAUACCACCACUAAAUACAGUUGGAUCCCAAAGGUGUGUACUUGGCCUCUCUGUUUCUAUUGGUUCAUUGCCUUUUUCUUAUUCAAAAACAUAUUUAAAAUUUUGAAGUAUUUAAAACAAAAAACAAAUGCAAGUACCACAUACCCAUUCCUCAUGCCCUCGCCAAAUGGAUCUGGGGCAAGUUAGAAUGCUGCUCCAUUUCCUUCAAAUAGUUAAUUUUCAAACAAUAAGUAAUGUGUAAAAACUGUAUCUAAAGCCUCUCCCUCCAUCACAGAGUUAGCCACAGCUCUGAAGUCAGGACGGAUGUCUGCUAAGUUUGCCUAUAUUUACCUAUUUUUUCCUAUACUUAUAGGUACAUGCGUGUACCUGAAACACCGCCAAGCAUCCUUUUACAUUUUCAUGCUUUGAAUAAAUGUCAUCAUUUUU